GAACGAGCCGGGCUGGGAGAGAGCGAGAGCGAGAUUGAGGAAGAGGAGGAGGGAGAGAGUUUUGGUGUUGGCAGCCCUUGGGUGCUGGGCCCGUGGGCCGCCGCCCCUCUUCGGCAAUGCCUGAUCUGGGCCCCUCUCCUGUUCUCUACCCCGGGACCCCCUGCGUCACAUGAGCAGUGAGCGCCCCGGUGGGCAACGGGAGAUUUCCGAGCUGUCACCCAGCCCGCAUACGGACCUCCUGAGCUUUAGCCUGGCUCACCCAAUGGCACUUCACCUGCUUUCUGGGGCUUUUUUAUCCCACCACCCUGGUUCCCACCACCCUGCAAAGCGUCCAAGCAGGGGACACGUAACAGUCCUCCCCAAGGACAACACCUCUCUACAGAAACUUGACCUGUGGCUUCUGGACUGUUGGCUCCAGGAGGGUGGAGAGGCCGCACACUGAGCAGGGGCUCUGUGAAGGCUCACAGAUGAACGAAGGCACAGAACACUCUAGCAAACACGCGUCCUUUUUACAGAGGAGGAAACUGAGGCAGGACUGGAGUCCAUCACGAAGGACACUAGGCGCAGGGUCCUGGGGAGUUUCAUGCUGCCCCUCCCUGGUAAAGUGUCCCCUGGAGUGUGCCCAGGGACUGGGUCCAAAGGCUGUUCCAGAGUUUGAGUUCUUGGGUCCCACUUCCCUUAUCUCCUGGGCUUAUCUCCUGGGGUCCAGAGAGAAGAGCCACCAGCCUAUGGUCACACAGCCAUGGCUCCUGAGGCCCCAAGCCUGCAGUCUGUGCCACCUUUUCCCCCUGCCGUCCUCCCCUGCUCCCAGGACAUUCUCAGAAUAUUCUGGACCUCAGGAUUUCUGAGGGACGGUUUCCUGUGCCCCCUGCUCAACUUUUCCUAUGCCUCCGGGCCAGCUCGUGGGGAUGCCUCCUCCAGGAAGCCUGCUGU